AUGGUUGUCGUCAGCUCGUGUCGUGAGGAUGUUCGGGUUAAGUCCCGCAACGAGCGCAACCCCUACGUUAGUUGCUAACGCGUGAAGGCGAGCACUCUAGACGAACUGCCGUUGACAAAACGGAGGAAGGUGGGGAUGACGUCAAAUCAUCAUGCCCCUUAUGUUCUGGGCUACACACGUGCUACAAUGGCCGGUACAGACGGACGCAAAGCCGCGAGGUGGAGCAAAUCCUAAAAAGCCGGUCUCAGUUCGGAUUGCAGGCUGCAAUUCGCCUGCAUGAAGUCGGAAUCGCUAGUAAUCGCAGGUCAGCAUACUGCGGUGAAUACGUUCCCGGGCCUU
rnacentral:rRNA from 1 species